rnacentral:rRNA from 1 species
UACGUAGGGGCCGAGCGUUGUCCGGAAUUACUGGGCGUAAAGCGCGCGCAGGCGGCGUUCUAAGCCCGACGUGAAAAGCCCCCCGGCUCAACCCGGGGGAGGGUCGUCGGGGGACUGGGGACGCUUGAGGGCGGUAGGGGCCGGUGGAAUUCCCGGUGUAGUGGUGAAAUGCGUAGAGAUCGGGAGGAACACCAGUAGCGAAGGCGGCUCGCUGGGCCGUUCCUGACGCUGAGACGCGAAAGCUAGGGGAGCGAACAGG